CCUACGGGUGGCAGCAGUGGGGAAUAUUGCACAAUGGGGGAAACCCUGAUGCAGCGACGCCGCGUGAGCGAUGAAGUAUUUCGGGAUGUAAAGCUCUAUCAGCAGGGAAGAAGAUGACGGGACCUGACGAAGAAGCCCCGGCUAACUACGUGCCAGCAGCCGCGGUAAGACGUAGGGGGCAAGCGUUAUCCGGAUUAACUGGGUGUAAAGGGAGCGUAGACGGCGCUGCAAGCCAGUUGUGAAAGCCCGGGGCUCAACCCCGGGACUGCAUUUGGGACGGUGUGGCUGGAGUGUCGGAGAGGCAGGCGGAAUUCCUAGUGUAGCGGUGAAAUGCGUAGAUAUUAGGAGGAACACCAGUGGCGAAGGCGGCCUGCUGGACGAUGACUGACGUUGAGGCUCGAAAGCGUGGGGAGCAAACAGGAUUAGAUACCCUGGUAGUC
rnacentral:rRNA from 1 species